AAGACCUUACUUAAUAGGAUCAUUUCUAUAGUAAGAACAGUCUUUAGUAAUCGCUUAGCUAAACAUGAGUCGAGAGUUCAUCGAC